AAAACCCAAAGGCGUAAUAAAAGUAAAUAUGGUAAAAGUUAUUAAUUUAUUAAUGCUUUUUCCGAGGGAAGAUAGGAUAUUAUUUAUCAUUAUUAUUUUGAUAAUAAUUUCUAGCAUUCCCGGGGCGCUUGUUUCUUGCUUUGCAAGUCUAUGCGCACCUAGAGCGUACACGCUGAUACCCGAAAGAUGGUGAACUAUGCCUGGCCAGGACGAAGCCAGGGGAAACCCUGGUGGAGGUCCGCAGCGAUUCUGACGUGCAAAUCGAUCGUCGGAGCUGGGUAUAGGGGCGAAAGACCAAUCGAACCAUCUAGUAGCUGGUUCCCUCUGAAGUUUCCCUCAGGAUAGCUUGCACUCGGUUGAGACGAGUCUCAUCCGGUAGAGCGAAUGAUUAGAGGCAUUGGGGUCGAAACGACCUCAACCUAUUCUCAAACUCCAAAUAGAUGAGAACCCCGGCUUUCUUAAAAGUGAAGCCGUGGGAUUCGGAUCAGAGUGCCAAGUGGGCCAAUUU
rnacentral:rRNA from 1 species